AUUGAACGCUGGCGGCAGGCCUAACACAUGCAAGUCGAACGAGUGGCGGACGGGUGAGUAAUGUCUGGGAACCUGCCCGAUGGAGGGGGAUAACUACUGGAACCGGUCGCUAAUACCGCAUACCAUUGGAUGUGCCCCGAUGGGGUUAGCCAGUCGUUGGGGUAACGGCUCACCUAGGCGACGAUCCCUCGCUGGUCUGAGAGGUUGACCAGCCACACUGGAACGGAGACACGGUCAAGACUCCGACGGGAGGAAGCAGAGGGGAAUAUUGCACAAUGGGCGCAAGCCGGAUGCAGCCAUGCCGCGUGUAUGAAGAAGGCCUUCGGGUUGGAAAGUACUUUCAGAGAGGAGGCGUUACUCGCAGAAGAAGCACCGGCUAACUCCGUGCCAGCAGCCGCGGUAAUUC
rnacentral:rRNA from 1 species